UGGGGAAUAUUGGACAAUGGGCGCAAGCCUGAUCCAGCCAUGCCGCGUGAGUGAUGAAGGCCUUAGGGUUGUAAAGCUCUUUUAUCCGGGACGAUAAUGACGGUACCGGAGGAAUAAGCCCCGGCUAACUUCGUGCCAGCAGCCGCGGUAAUACGAAGGGGGCUAGCGUUGCUCGGAAUCACUGGGCGUAAAGGGCGCGUAGGCGGCGUUUUAAGUUGGGGGUGAAAGCCUGUGGCUCAACCACAGAAUUGCCUUCGAUACUGGGACGCUUGAGUGUGGUAGAGGUUGGUGGAACUGCGAGUGUAGAGGUGAAAUUCGUAGAUAUUCGCAAGAACACCGGUGGCGAAGGCGGCCAACUGGACCAUCACUGACGCUGAGGCGCGAAAGCGUGGGGAGCAAACAGGAUUAGAUACCCUGGUAGUCCACGCUGUAACGAUGAAUGCCAGCCGUUGGGGGCUUGCCUUUCAGUGGCGCAGCUAACGCUUUGAGCAUUCCG
rnacentral:rRNA from 1 species